AUGGCUCAGGACGAACGCUGGCGGCGUACCUAACACAUGCAAGUCGAGCGGGGACAUACGACGGAGUCAAAGUUUCGGAUGGAGACGAAGAUGUAUGUUCUAGCGGCGGACGGGUGAGUAACGCGUGAGCAACCUGUCCCUUACAGGGGGAUAACACAGCGAAAGUUGUACUAAUACCGCAUGAGACCACGGGAGGACAUCCUCCAGGGGUCAAAGGAGCAAUCCGGUAAGGGGUGGGCUCGCGUCCGAUUAGAUAGUUGGUGAGGUAACGGCCCACCAAGUCGACGAUCGGUAGCCGACCUGAGAGGGUGAUCGGCCACAUUGGGACUGAGACACGGCCCAAACUCCUACGGGAGGCAGCAGUGGGGAAUAUUGGGCAAUGGGGGAAACCCUGACCCAGCAACGCCGCGUGAGGGAAGAAGGUUUUCGGAUCGUAAACCUCUGUCCUUGGUGAAGAGGAAGAGACGGUAGCCAAGGAGGAAGCCCCGGCUAACUACGUGCCAGCAGCAGC
rnacentral:rRNA from 1 species